AUACGUAGGGGGCAAGCGUUAUCCGGAAUUAUUGGGCGUAAAGCGUACGUAGGUGGUUUUUUAAGCGCGGGGUUUAAGGCAAUAGCUCAACUAUUGUUCGCCCCGUGAACUGGAAGACUUGAGUACAGGAGAGGAAAGCGGAAUUCCUAGUGUAGCGGUGAAAUGCGUAGAUAUUAGGAGGAACACCAGUGGCGAAGGCGGCUUUCUGGACUGAAACUGACACUGAGGUACGAAAGCGUGGGGAGCAAACAGGAUUAGAUACCCUGGUAGUCCACGCCGUAAACGAUGAGCACUAGGUGUCGGGGUCGCAAGACUUCGGUGCCGCAGUUAACGCAGUAAGUGCUCCGCCUGGGGAGUACGUUCGCAAGAAUGAA
rnacentral:rRNA from 1 species